AACUUCAAAAGGAAAGGAGAAGGUCGGCUCAUCAUCUGGCACAGCACGCACUCGUGUGCUUGAAGGAGGUAUACAAAGAUUUUUGACUGCCGAGGCAGCAGCCCGUUAUGAAAACAUAGUGAGUUGAUGGACAGUGACACCAGAACGGGCUGUUAAAUUGGAAGACUUUCCUAGUUUCGAGCUGACUACUUUGGUGUAGAACUGUGGUUGGAAUAAAAUAGUGGAGCAGCCACAUCGGAGUUAUGAAUUGUUGGUGGGGGAAUUUUACGCCAAUUUCAAUACAGAAAUUGACACACCAGGGUCCGAUCACCUACAUCAGACUUGGGUCCGGGGAAAAUGGAUCACAUUCUCACCCGAAGUUAUUCAAGACUACUACCAGCUCACGUGGGAAAACAUAACGCCUAUACCAGGUGACUUCAAUUGGCCUGAAGUGGCGGAGAUCUUAUUGGGGCGACAGAAUGCAUGGCCACUUCCCACUACCGAGUGGCAUCAGAUUGAGCUUACACCGUCUAUAGCAAUCCUGUGGCUGUUUAUGUGCCACAACAUUGAGCCUACCUCUCAAGGACCACGUUCACAGAUCCCACAGCUGGAUUCCUUUAUCACUUAGUGCAAGGUAAUAAGGUUGAUCUUGCCACUCUUUGCUAU
rnacentral:lncRNA from 1 species